UUGCUCAUUCAUUCCUCCAUGAUGGGCCGGGCCUUGGAGGACUCAGCCCAGCUGUUCUGCAUGUGCUCUUUGGUGGAAGCCCAGAAGAAGUCAUGAUGAAAAUAUCAAGGACUGUGCUGACCUCGAUAUCCGCAAGACAGUCAAAGUGCUGGAGGGUACAGAAGAAUUGUCAUCUGAAGGAAAGAACAAUACUAAUGAGUUGUCACUGUCUUGGGAUUUGCCUCAAGUCACAUGUGAGAACAGAAGAUGCUGCUGGACAAGCUGAUGCUCCACGCAGAACUUGGAAGAAGCUCAAGACGGGUUAAACAGUUACGAAGGGGCUUAAAAGAGACGCUGAUCUGGCCUUUGCUAACUGAGAGGAGAGACACAAUUCCCCUCCUCUUUCCAAGAGCAUGUGAUGUACAGCGCACACCACAGGUCAGUGACCCCGUGAACUCACACUAGUGACUUUCUCAGAAAUGACAUGCGUUUUCUACUCUCAUGCAGACUUUGGUUAAAGUGAAGUUACUUACAAUAAACAGGAACCUUUUGGGAUCUGAAACGGGUUGCAGGGAAAUAAUCACAUUCAGCUUUUGAUCACUGGUUUCCUCCCUUUAAGUUAAACCUACAUCAAUGCAUAAGCAAGUACUGCUCAGACAUGGUUGUCCUGAAGUCUUUGCAAGUUGUGUUUCAUAGAAAUGAACUGACAGUAAUUGCUGCCUCAAAGGAAGGAAACCAAUUAA